rnacentral:tRNA from 1 species
GGGGCCUUGCAGCCACAGGGCUUGCAGCCGCAGGGCCUUGCAGCCGCAGGGCCUUGCAGUCAAAGGCCUUGCAGCCAAAGGGCCUUGCAGCCAAAGGCCUUGCAGCCGCAGGACCUCGCAGCCAAAAGCCUUGCAGCCAAAGGGCUUGCAGCCAAAGGGCUUGCAGCCGCAGGGCCUUGCAGCCGCAGGGCUUGCAGCUGAAUGGGCUUGCAGCCAAAGGCCUUGCAGCCGCAGGACCUUGCAGCCAAAGGGCCUUGCAGCCAAAGGGCUUGCAGCCGCAGGGCCUUGCAGCCGCAGGGCUUUGCAGUCAAAGGCCUUGCAGCCAAAGGGCCUUGCAGCCAAAGGGCUUGCAGCCAAAGGGCCUUGCAGCCACAAGGCUUUGCAGCCGCAGGGCCUUGCAGCCGCAGGGCCUUGCACUGCAGGGCUUGCAGCUGAAUGGGCUUGCAGCCAAAGGCCUUGCAGCCGCAGGACCUUGCAGCCAAAAGCCUUGCAGCCAAAGGGCUUGCAGCCGCAGGGCCUUGCAGCCACAGGACCUUGCAGUCAAAGGCCUUGCAGCCAAAGGGCUUGCAGCCAAAGGGCCUUGCAGCCAAAGGGCCUUGCAGCCAAAGGCCUUACAGCCAAAGGGCCUUGUAGCCAAAGGGCUUACAAACGCGCUUGCAGCCGCAGGGCUUGCAGUCGAAGGGGCUUGUAGCUGCAGGGCUUGUAGCCGCAGGGCUUUGCAGCCGCAGGGCCUUGCAGCCGAAGGGGCUUGCAGCCGCAGGCCUGCAGUGGCUCCUGCUCUCUGCCCCAUUUACCCCACAGAGGACCGCAAAUCCCAGCCGAGGGCUGCUCAUGCCAGUAGACUUUGCGAUAAGAGUUUUUGUAGACAAAGCUAUUUUUCUCGUGUGGGGGGAAAAAAUAUGAAUCUUGCAAGCUGGAUUCAUUUGACAGAGGCACCCCUUCCAAUUACAAUAUUGUCUCUCUGAUUUUGAUUUAGGAUGCGUAGCAAUAAGCAUAAUUAGAUAUAUUUUUAUUACGUUUUGAACCAUCGGAAAGGAGAUAGUUGUUAAAGUUUAUGUCUUAUUUUUUUUUUUUUUUUUUAAGAAGUGCAGCUGCAUCUGGUUCCACUGGGGAAUCGAACCCAGGAGCUUCUGCGUGUAAAGCAGACGUGAUAACCACUGCACUGUGGAACCGCAAGCCCCUAUCUUCUUUCAUAUUUGAAUACUAUUGCUAGCUUUAGUUUCUUCUGUGAAAACAUGCUAAAAACCAGUUCUUAGGCCGAAGGAUUGCAAAGUAAUUUAUUUUUCCAAAUAGAUAUUUUCUAGGUUCUCGUCGGAGCUUUUUAAAGAAACCAAAGGUUUAAGAUUUGCUAGUAUAAAUUCAAUACCUAGUUAUAUUUUGAAUUAAUGUUUAAAGUACUAGGAAAGAGUUGAAUGCCUUUUGAAUUUAUAUCCUGGCAUGAUUGUCCUUCUGAUGGCUGAAAUUAAUGGUGGAGGUUUUUAAGGUUUCCUACAAACUUGACUUCUAGGAUAUUUUGCUAUUCUUUCCAUUGGCAGGCUGUCAUCUAUGUGCUUGCUAGUUAUCAACAUUGGGGCUCGAAUAGUAAAACCUGAACUUCUACAUUCCUUAAGUCAUAAAUUUGUAUCAAUUAAGGUGACAAAAAGUUGGCCUGGUCUUAAUUCUCUUCACAUCGAUACAGGUUAGUAUUAAUGCCUUACGUUUCUUCCAGACACCAGUAUUAUAAAAGUCAAAUAUAGAGAAUAUAGAAAUUCAGUUCAACAAUUCUUUUUCGAUCUCUAUUUUAUGUUCGAUGUAAUGAUAUUAUCUCAGGGUUCAGAAGAGUAUGUUUCUUUAUUUUUUUUUAUGGACUCAUGUCUCUUUUUAUUAGAGCAUGAGAUUUACAUAACCCAUUAAGUUUUGGCCUCGAUUUAUCAGAAGCUCGCUAAAUUGAUUUUCUGAUAAAUUGAAAUUACAUCAAUUUGCCUGUUUUCUAGAAUAACUUUUAAUCCCAUUUUCAGAUCUCUCUUUCUCUCUUCUCCUUAAUCUCUAUUAUUCAUCUUUGUUUUAUACUUUUUAAAAAAGAGGGUGUUUUUAUUUUGAUUUUUACUGUGUGCUAUUUGAAAUCCACCUUGGAAACGGAGACAAGAAUUAUUUAUUUACAUUUAAAUAAUUACUUUUAAAAUUCUGUUUUACCAAAGGUGUCUGGAAAAUAGCUUUGUGGUUGUUGUUGUUGUUGCUGUUUUAUUUUAUUUUUUUCUUUUACUCUGCUUAGAGGUUUCCUGUAACCAUAUAUUCAAAUCUUCUGUUUCGUAUAUUACCAGUACAAAAGCUAUAUUAAAAUAUUUUCUUUGGCAAUACUUUAGCUAUGAAAGAAUGAGAAAAUCUGCUUCUAUUUAUUUUUGUAUGAACUACAGGUUUAUUCAUAGCACAUUUUCUAAGUUAGAAGUCUCUUUGAGACAAUGAAAAAAUUACGGAUCAAAAACUUACAGCAACAUAUAAUUCUAUUAUUUAGACAAAUCGUCUGUUUAAAAGUGUUGCAUAUCCCCUCAAUUUUUUUAGACAUAUACACAUAGUAAUUUAACAAAAAUGGAAUCCUUGUAACCUUAUUACAGAUUACUCUUUAAAUUUUACAAUAUGCCAUAGUCCACUUCCAUAUCCACAAAUAAUUAUUUGCAUUAUCAUUUUAAUGAGUCUUAUUCUUUCACUGUUUGUACUAUAAUGCAUUUCCUCUUGAUACACAUAAAAGUUGUAGAUUGUUUCCUAACCCCCUCUUGUUUUCUUCUGUCAUAAACAACUUGGAGAUAAACAUCCUAGCAAACUUAUAUAUGCUGAUAUAUCCAGUUACUUUCUGAAGAAAAUCUGUAAUUCAUUGGAAUUAAUGUUUAGAAGGGCAGAGAUUUUUAAAAUAAUUUUGAUAAAUUUUGCCCGAGUGCUCUCCAGAAAACCUGGUGCCAUUUCCAUUUCCAUUACCAGUAUGGAGGACUGCCCAUUUCCAUAUACUUCAAGAAUAAGAAAUUUUGUUUAAGCUGUUAGCCAAUUCAGAAUGAUAAUGUAAAGCAAAAUAUUUCACGGUAACUUUUUUUUUAUUAUUAUUACUACAAAAGUUAAACAGCAUUUCUUGUAUUUGUUGGCCAUCUGUGUUUUCAUAUUUGUGAACUGAAUGUUUCAUGAUCUCAGUCUGUUUUCCUUUUGGGUUGUUUUUCAUUUGUAUAGAUUUGUUACAUUGAACAAAAUCUUACACUUUUUUCUCCCAUAUUCUCACUUUGUUUAUAGUUUUGAGGGUCAUUCCAAAGUUCAGUCUUUAAACUCAGAAUUUCCAGUCUUUUACUUAGGUGGAUUUAAUGUUAUGACUCAAAACACUUUGAGAACUCAAAUAUACACACAUGCAAUUAAUCUGUAUUAUCUUCAGUUACAUUUAGAGCUUUAUAUUCUGAAUAAUUUCUAACAAGACUUUUGUCUUUGAAGUAUGUUGCCCACAGCCUAUAGUAAAUCUCCUUAAAAGUAUCUUACUUUUCAAGUUUCAUUAAUAUGUUUGGUAAAUACCUACCUACUAUAAGAAUCUGUGUGAAACUCAUAUGCCAACUCUAAUUC